UACGGAGGGGGCUAGCGUUGUUCGGAAUUACUGGGCGUAAAGCGCACGUAGGCGGCUUUGUAAGUUAGAGGUGAAAGCCCGGAGCUUAACUCCGGAACUGCCUUUAAAACUGCAUCGCUAGAAUCGUGGAGAGGUGAGUGGAAUUCCGAGUGUAGAGGUGAAAUUCGUAGAUAUUCGGAAGAACACCAGUGGCGAAGGCGACUCACUGGACACGUAUUGACGCUGAGGUGCGAAAGCGUGGGGAGCAAACAGG
rnacentral:rRNA from 1 species